AAAUUGAAGAGUUUGAUCAUGGCUCAGAUUGAACGCUGGCGGCAGGCCUAACACAUGCAAGUCGGACGGUAACACAGGGGAGCUUGCUCCUUGGGUGACGAGUGGCGGACGGGUGAGUAAUGUCUGGGGAUCUGCCCGAUAGAGGGGGAUAACCACUGGAAACGGUGGCUAAUACCGCAUAACGUCGCAAGACCAAAGAGGGGGA
rnacentral:rRNA from 1 species